rnacentral:rRNA from 1 species
AAGGUGAAAUUCUCAGAUUAACUAAAGACUAACUUAUGCGAAAGCAUUUGCCAAGGAUGUUUUCAUUGAUCAAGAACGAAAGUAGAUCA